UACAGAGGUCUCAAGCGUUGUUCGGAUUCAUUGGGCGUAAAGGGUGCGUAGGUGGCGUCGUAAGUCGGGUGUGAAAUUUCGGAGCUCAACUCCGAAACUGCAUUUGAUACUGCGGUGCUUGAGGACUGGAGAGGAGACUGGAAUUUACGGUGUAGCAGUGAAAUGCGUAGAGAUCGUAAGGAAGACCAGUGGCGAAGGCGGGUCUCUGGACAGUUCCUGACACUGAGGCACGAAGGCCAGGGGAGCAAACGGG
rnacentral:rRNA from 1 species